rnacentral:rRNA from 1 species
CAGCGUCACGAGUGGGAAUCGUAUUUAUUUGGCCUAAAGCGUCCGUAGCCGGUCUGAUAAAUUCAUUGUGAAAUCAUUGUGCUUAACACAAUGGCGUGCAGUGAACACUGUCAGACUUGAGACUGGAAGGAGCUAGAAGUAUUCUUGGGGGAGCGGUAAAAUGCUAUAAUCCCAAGAGGACUACCUGUGGCGAAGGCGUCUAGCUAGUACAGUUCUGACGGUCAGGGACGAAAGCUAGGGGAGCGAUCCGGAUUAGAGACCCGAGUAGUCC